AUUGAACGCUGGCGGCAGGCCUAACACAUGCAAGUCGAACGAGUGGCGGACGGGUGAGUAAUGUCUGGGAAACUGCCUGAUGGAGGGGGAUAACUACUGGAAACGAUAGCUAAUACCGCAUACCAUCCGAUGUGCCCAGAUGGGAUUAGCUAGUAGGUGGGGUAAAGGCGCACCUAGGCGACGAUCCCUAGCUGGUCGGAGAGGAUGGCCAGCACCACUGUAGCUGAGACGCGGACAAGACGCCCACGCGAGGCAGCAGGGGGGACUAUUUGACAAUGGGCGCAAGCCAUAUGCAGGCCUGCAGCGUGAAUGAUGAAGGCCUUUGGGUUGUAAAGUACUUUCAGCAGCGAGUCGUCACCCGCAGAAGAAGUACCGGCUAAUACCGUGCCACCACCCGCGGUAAUAC
rnacentral:rRNA from 1 species